GUUGUGGUCCAGGCAGUCGCUUGCCCGCGAGGGCGAGAGGAAAGUCCGGGCUCCAUUGAGCAGGAGGGUUGCUAACGGCAACCGGGGGCGUCUGAAAGGCGCUCCCAGGGAAAGUGGCACAGAAAACGUACCGCCCGGCUUGCGUGACUGACGUACAGGAGAGCCCGAAAGCUCCGUGCACCGGUUGCGGCCCGAAAGGGUUCGGGUAAGGGUGAAAAGGUGCGGUAAGAGCGCACCGCGCGCCUGGCGACAGGCGUGGCAGGCCAAACCCCCUCCGGAGCAAGGCCAAAUAGGGACUGAGGAACGAAAGUUCCACGAGGUGGCUCGCCUCGUUUGAAGGUCCGGGUAGGCCGCUGGAAUGCUGUGGCAACGCGGCAUCUAGACGAAUGACAGCCACCCCGCAAGGGGAACAAAACCCGGCUUAUCGGAUCACAAAGACG
rnacentral:RNase_P_RNA from 1 species